rnacentral:lncRNA from 1 species
UGUGGGGACCGAUAUUUUGAAAAAGAUUUAAAAUAUCCCCUUGAAGAUCAAAUUUGAAUUCUUUUAAAAGGUGAUUUCAUUUUAACCAAGAAAUUCAAGAGUAAUUGGAGAUUGCUACUUGUUGUGUUAUAAAUUGUAUUUUGAAUCAAAUGGCUUGUGACAAUAUUUGCAUGAAUGGUUGAAUUGGUAUUUGUGUUGAAAUAUAUGAACUAUGUAUUUAGCCUUAAGAGGCUGGAUUGUGAAAUAAUUGCCAUGUCAUGCUAUUGCAAAUUUUAUUGUAUGGUGGGUUUAGCUUGCUGCAAUGGGUGGAUUCUAUGGACCAACCUAUUAGAGGGGCACGAAAUUUGGUUAUAUAUGUACCUCAGUCGGAGAGUCGCGUAGGGUAUCUCCUGAGGUAUGGUUAGAGUUCACGUCACGUCGAACCACCUUGUGAUGAUGAACUCCACUAACACCAAGGAAUGGCUGUGUUUUCAAAAUAAAAAUAUGAUUUAUGCGUACAUUACUUUUUAACAGCCUUGGCGGAUUCGGCUGGGAUAGCCCCAGGCCAAGGUAUCCCUGACAACCGAGUAUGAGAAUGAUUUUGGCACAAGCCAAGUUUUUAAGAAAGUCAUAAGCCAUGUUGUUUAUUUUUGAUAAAAAUGUAAUGGUUUUAUAUGAGUUGAA